rnacentral:rRNA from 1 species
GACGAACGCUGGCGGCGUGCCUAAUACAUGCAAGUCGAACGCAGUGGGGACGGGGGAGUAACACGUGGGUAACCUCCCAUCAGAGGGGAUAACACUUGGAAACAGGUGCUAAACCGAUACUGAUGGAUGGACCCGCGGUGCAUUAGCUAGUUGGUGAGGUAACGGCUCACCAAGGCCACGAUGCAUAGCCGCCCUUAGAGGGUGAUCGACCACACUGAGACUGAGACACGGCCCAGACUCCUACGGACGGCAGCAGUGGGGCAUCUUCGGCAAUUGACGAAAGUCUACCCGAUCAACGCCGCGUGAGUGGAUGAGGUUUUCGGCUCGUAAAACUCUGUUGUUAGUGAAGCGGUAUCUAACCAGAAAGCCCCGGCUAACUACGUGCCAGCAGCCGCGGUAAUUC